rnacentral:rRNA from 1 species
GCGGAGGAAAAGAAACCAACAGGGAUUCCCUUAGUAACGGCGAGUGAACCGGGAAAAGCUCAAAUUUGAAAUCUGCCAACAGGCCGAGUUGUAAUUUGUAGAUGGCUACACUGCAUAAUAGUAGAUGCUCAAGUUCUUUGGAAAAAGACAUCAUGGAGGGUGACAAUCCCGUGAGGCAUGUUACUAGGAGCAUAUAGUGGGCUUUCUAAGAGUCGAGUUGUUUGGGAAUGCAGCUCAAAGUGCGUGGUGAAUACCAUGUAAAGCUAAAUAUGGACGAGAGACCGAUAGCGAACAAGUACUGUGAAGGAAAGAUGAAAAGCACUCCGAAAGGAGAGUGAAAUAGUACGUGAAAUUGUUAAAGUGGAAGGGCUUGAGAUCAGAAUUGGUAGUUUGGGUUCCACGUCCUCUUGGGGGCGUGUACUCCCUUUCCACCGGGCCAGCGGGAGUUUCGUCUCUUGGGUAAAAGCAGUGGAAUGUAGCAGCUUGUCUGUAUUAUAGCCUCUGUUCAUACAAGACGUCGAGACUUGUUUUUGUUGGCGUAAUGAUCUCUAGCCACCCGUCUUGAAACACGGA